rnacentral:rRNA from 1 species
UAGUUCCUACGGGACGCAGCAGUGGGGAAUAUUGCACAAUGGGGGGAACCCUGAUGCAGCGACGCCGCGUGAGUGAAGAAGUAUUUCGGUAUGUAAAGCUCUGUCAGCAGGGAAGAAAGAAAUGACGGUACCUGACCAAGAAGCCCCGGCUAACUACGUGCCAGCAGCCGCGGUAAUACGUAGGGGGCAAGCGUUAUCCGGAAUUACUGGGUGUAAAGGGAGCGUAGACGGUGAUGCAAGUCUGGAGUGAAAGGCGGGGGCCCAACCCCCGGACUGCUCUGGAAACUGUGUAACUUGAGUGCAGG